rnacentral:rRNA from 1 species
ACUCAAAUGAAUUGACGGGGGCCCGCACAAGCGGUGGAGCAUGUGGUUCAAUUCGAUGCAGAGCGAAGAACCUUACCUGGGCUUGACAUGGCGGAAGUAGGAACCCGAAAGGGGGACGACUCGUUGAGUCGAGAGCCGUCACAGGUGGUGCAUGGCUGUCGUCAGCUCGUGCCGUGAGGUGUUGGGUUAAGUCCCGCAACGAGCGCAACCCUCACCCUAUGUUGCCAACGGUUCGGCCGGGCACUCUUAGGGAACUGCCGGCGAAGAGCUGGAGGAAGGGGGGGAUGACGUCAAGUCCGUAUGCCCUUUAUGCCCAGGGCUACACACAUGCUACAAUGGUCGGUACAGAGGGUUGCCAACCCGCAAGGGGGAGCCAAUCCCAGAGAACCGAUCUCAGUUCGGAUUGUAGGCUGCAACUCGCCUACAUGAAGUCGGAAUCGCUAGUAAGCGCAGAUCAGCAGGCUGCGCUGAAUACGUUCCCGGGCCUUGUACACACCGCCCGU